GCCCCUGGAGGUCUGUUUUCUUUUGUAACUCAAGGCAACUUGUUGCAGUAACUUCUGAAAUGGUUAAAAAUUUGUCCAUGAAGACUAACAGAGAUAAUGAGGCCUAACCUGAAGCAAAGUUAAAAACUGAUACAUUUUGAUGGUGGAAAUACCAUUAUAAAUACUUCAAGGAAAAAAACAUUUUCUUUCUUUCUUUUUUUUUUUUGUUUGUGUCUCUAUGAGAUGACAGAUGGUAAUUAAGCCGAUGGGGGUGACCAUUCUCCAAGAUGUGGACGUCAAGUCAUUAUGCGAAAAUCUGGAGCCUUUUUGAAAGCUGUUCAGGUGUGGAAUACAGAUACUCAGCUGCAGGAAAAACAGAUACAUUUUUAAUGAAACAAAAACCUCAAAGCACACACUCGAUAUUAGUCACUUUACUAAUUAAAAAUGCAUAUUGCUCUGUGCUGCCUCGUGUUUUACAUUAUUUAAGCAUGAUUUUAUAAGGUUACCUCAGCUCACAAGGAUGUUUAAUGCUAAGUAAGACUGUGUAGUUGUGCUGUUUAGACAUCUCCUUUGGGUGAUUAAAAUACAUUAUUCUAAUGUAACCCAAUGCAUAUGUGAUAUAUUUAGUGAUGAGAAUUUUUUUCCAAGAACUGGUACUAUAGCUGUAUGUACCCUGAAACAACAGUUGCAUAUUAUUAACUAGUCAAUUGUUUAAAUAAUUUGGUGUGACUUCCAGUCCUUGAUUUUUCUCUGUGUAUAUCAUUAAAAAAAAUGUGUAAGCAACUGCAGCAACACUGACCUGCUUAUAAAAAUCCAUCAUUAUGGGAUGUGUAUGCUAACAAUGAGAGAAUGCUAUUUGAAAACUUGCUUUUUUGUUAUCUUAAAAGAACAGAUGGCAAAUAUAAGCUUACUCUAAUGUAUUAAAACACAUAAAAUUUUCCUUAACACUAACAUGUUGACUUGCCAAAUAAACAAUUGCUCCUGCCUAAGUUUA